rnacentral:piRNA from 1 species
UUCACAUGUAAUGAUGUGACAGUGUUGC